CCUGGUUGGGAGAGAUAGCACCCAUGGGUGCUCCAGGGGCCAGGGCUCUCCGGGAGCUCCAGGCAGAGGGAGCAGCUCCUGGGUUGGGCUGUUCCAGCUGGGAGCUUUAUCCUGUGUCACAGGAAGCAAGGCAUCAUCUCCCAGGUAAUUUCCCAGGUCCCCAUGCUGGGUAUCUCACUGAUAACAGCUCCCAGGAUGCUUAUCAGCAGAGCACCAACAUUCCUGUGCCCACCUGAACUGCUGUGAGAACUUCUCCCUCUGCUAAACACUGGAGAACAAUUGCCAUUUGAGGGGGGAUAAUUGGAGUGAUCCAAAACCAUUUAACAAUUGGAAUAUCAUUCUGCUCCGUGGCUUUUUAUUUUUUCCUGUUCCAGCUACAAUGUCAUUCACUAAUGAAUGCAGCAUGGGUUGGGAUUAGGUUUAAAGCAGCAUUUUCCUGUUGCUGUUCCCUGCAUGUUGGUCGCACCCUUAAUGAUCUUCCUAGGAAAUAUUUACUUUGAGGGGUUUGCUUCUAAGUCCUUCAAGUGAUCAAAACCAGGCAAGGCAUGGCUUACUCUCCUAUGACUUCAGUUUUUCCUGGAAAGAAACGGGAACAAAAAAAAAUUCCUACUUCCAAAAUUAAUGCAAAUCAGCUUGAAAAUCAUCUUGUCCCAAUAAAUGAAUGCUCCAUUCUUUCUCAGGCAGGCUAAUAUUGGCUUUUAAGGGAAGAGAAACUCCAGGAGGAAUGAGCACUCAUUGGCAGGAUAGGCCUUCUGUGAGUGGCCCCUGUGAGAAAUCCCAGCCAGGGCUGCCAGGAUCGCUCUGGAGCUGAAGUUUGGGAAGAAGUUUGGGGAAAUCAGCAGCCCAGUGGCUCCUGACCAGGAGACUGCCACGUCCAGUCCUUCCUUGGACACCUCCAGCACCCCCCUUGCAAUGCCUGGCCACCCUUUCCCUGGAGAAAUUCCUCCUGAUGUUCCAGAGGAUGCUGCAUUGAGCCUUUCGAGAGAUGCCUCUGCUCUUUGCAAUAUAUUUGCGGUUUAAAUUGUCAAUAAACCCACAGGACAUAAUUACACCCCCAAAUUCCCCAGACUUGAAAGCCUGACCGUCCCUCCCUUGUUCUCCACGAGCUGUAACUCAAUGCAAACCCCUCUGUCUCUCUCCAUUUUCCAGUUCUUUCAUUCAUUCCUGCUGAGUAAUUAAAAAUGGCUUCUAAAUAAACAGCGGGGAUGAUUUCCGAAA